UGUUCACAUGAUCAAACUCUACAUCUCAAUAGAAACCUGGAUAGCAAAGCGUUGGUUUGUUUUUGAAGCAUUUGAACCAGCAACAGUCAUCAUUGGAGUUUCUGGCAUGUCUAUGGUGUGGAACCCUCAGUCUAUGAACAUCAUAACAGCACAUGAACCAGCAGCAGUCAUCAUCUCAAGAUUCUGGUAUAUCCAAGGUACAGGACCUUUAGUCUGUACAGAUCUUGCAGAACAAACUUCAGAUGCAAUUUGAGGAAAUCAAACCAUCCAAUCAGAAACACAGCCUGUUGCAGCAAUUGUUAACAUAUUGACCCCAGUCAAACCUUAGAAGCUCAGAGUUACAUAAUGUUUAUGAUGUGCUAGUCUUCACAUACUCUGGUUUGUUCAACACUUACUCUGAAUCUUUGAAUGUUAUGACGGGUGAAAAUGAAUGACCUUGUUCAGAUCGAAAUUGCAGAAUGACACAUCACAACAAUUCAAGUGGAAAGCCACAAACUCAUGUCAACAGCCAAAUAAUGUAUGUUGCCAGCCAAGCUGUAUUAAAAAACACAAUAGCUUACGUUUUAUGUUAUAUGUGACCAACCAAGAUAUAUUCAUACAAAAACAAUAGUUCAUGUUUUAUGGGAAUUGUAAUGCUGUCAGUCUUUAUGUUGAAAUAUUGUGUUCAAUAUAGCAUGUUAAGUAUUUUAAAAGCACGCAUAUUGCAUGUAUAUGCAAUCUCUUUGUCUAUAUUAUGAUAUCACUACAUACAUCCUGAUAAUGGUAAACUUAUGGGAAAUACACUUUUAUCAAAGACUGUCAAAGUGUGACAAAGCUGUUUUAAUGAGGUUGGUAACUUGGACAACAUUAAAAAAAAUAUUGGAGUAUUUUCAUGUUAUAAAACAUGUUUCAGUUUUCUGUUUUUUUCCCGUAUUAUAGAUAAGCUAGAUAGAAGAAGUGUAAAGAAAGGUUUAGAAGUUUUACGCUACAGCUUUUUCUGUUUAUCAAUCUUUCUAAAAAAAAUAAUAAUAAAAUUGCUAAUUCGGGUCGGUAUACGAACAAGAAUCUUGUUUGAUAGCAUGUUUUUUUCCCGUAUUAUAGAUAAGCUGGAUAGAAGAAGUGUAAAGAAAGGUUUAGAAGUUUUACGCUACAGCUUUUUCUGUUUAUCAAUCUUUCUAAAAAAAAAUAAUAAUAAAUUUGCUAAUUCGGGUCGGUAUACGAACAAGAAUCUUGUUUGAUAGCAUUCAUGGAAAUCUAAAUAAGUUAUGUGCAAACUUAUGUAAUGUACCUAAAAGUAUCGAUUCUGUAUUUACUACCAGUACUUUGUUGAUUUCAAUGGAUAUUGUUUGUUAAAUAGUCGAGAAUGGCUCUUGCAUUUUUGGGGAAACUUUAAGGAAAACUGAAAAUUAAAAAAAAAAUGUUUUGAGUUUUAUGAAAAAUGGCAAAAGUUAUAAGUGUUAAUUUAUGUUGUUAGAUCAUAGACUUAGAUGCUCAUAAGUGUUUAAAUUUAUUUUCGGACAUAAUAGUUUAUAAUGCUUUAUAUUUGUAUAUGCAUAUGAAGACGACCAAAAUGUAUCCUCUUUAUAAAUCACUGAGUAUCUUAAUCAAUAUCUCUUGAUCACUGCAUACACUAGAGAGGUAUAUUUUGACAUUUAUAUACAGAGCAACUGUGAAACAAUAGUAUUUUAAAUGUACAUUAUUUAUUUAUUGUUGCAAUUUUUAUAAGAUUCACUCACUGUUUAUAUUAAUUUGUACAAACCAUAGUCAUACAAAUAUUGAUUGUGUGAAUCCUCAUAUAUGUAUUAAACUGUUAAAAAAAUGCACAGUAACAGAUUCUGAAGAGAAUACUGUACUCAAUGUAAUAUAAACACCUUGUUAUAUCAACUGCUUUUGAUUAAGAACAAUUACUUAAAAUAAGUUUAAUUUUGUUUUACAUUAUCAAAAGAAAAUUUAGUACCUUGUUAUUUGAAAUCAGUCAUUCACAAAUUAAGGAAGAAUGUUGUCAUAUGCUACAAUUGUCAAAAAAUGCAAUUGUCUCUAUUGGUAAAGUAGAGAGCAAUAGUAUUUGCUUAAAAAAAUAAAAACAAAGAUGUCUGCUUUGUAAGUGUAUGUGGAAUAAACACUUAUGUUUGUGCUUAUAUUAAACGUGAACGUAUUGACGUAUUGCUGAAAAUAAAGUUUGACAUUUUAUUAGAUGGGCGCUUUAGCGCCCGUCUAAAGUGCAUAGUGUGAAAUUCAGGUCGAUACGACUAGGUAUGAUUAACCCAAUAUCGCUUGCGUAUCCGCGCAAGAAAGAGUUGUAUAAUUUAUGCAAGAGGUUUGAGUUCUCCAAUUAUGUGUAUUCACAAAUGGCAACAUUAUAUUAAUAUCGUGUUACAUUCAAUAUUUUCGAACGGUGUUUUAUAGAAAAGAAUCAAUAAACAAUGAUCGUAUUGUACGUGUCGCGGAGGAGAUUGUUUAUGAAUGAUUAAAAUAGUCCACUUUCUGCUGCGUGUGCGUGACGUAGUAUUUUC